rnacentral:rRNA from 1 species
UACAGAGGUCUCAAGCGUUGUUCGGAUUCAUUGGGCGUAAAGGGUGCGUAGGCGGCGCGGUAAGUCGGGUGUGAAAUCUCGGAGCUUAACUCCGAAACUGCAUUCGAUACUGCCGUGCUUGGGGACUGGAGAGGAGACUGGAAUUUACGGUGUAGCGGUGAAAUGCGUAGAUAUCGUAAGGAAGACCAGUGGCGAAGGCGGCUCACUGGCCCGGAACUGACGCUGAGGUGCGAAAGCGUGGGGAGCAAACAGG